UAGGGAAUCUUCCACAAUGGACGCAAGUCUGAUGGAGCAACGCCGCGUGAGUGAAGAAGGUUUUCGGAUCGUAAAGCUCUGUUGUUGGUGAAGAAGGAUAGAGGCAGUAACUGGUCUUUAUUUGACGGUAAUCAACCAGAAAGUCACGGCUAACUACGUGCCAGCAGCCGCGGUAAUACGUAGGUGACAAGCGUUGUCCGGAUUUAUUGGGCGUAAAGCGAGCGCAGGCGGAAUGAUAAGUCUGAUGUGAAAGCCCACGGCUCAACCGUGGAACUGCAUCGGAAACUGUCAUUCUUGAGUGCAGAAGAGGAGAGUGGAAUUCCAUGUGUAGCGGUGGAAUGCGUAGAUAUAUGGAAGAACACCAGUGGCAAAGGCGGCUCUCUGGUCUGCAACUGACGCUGAGGCUCGAAAGCAUGGGUAGCGAACAGG
rnacentral:rRNA from 1 species